CGCCCAACAGCUAGCUCACCCCAACAAUACCAACAUUCCACUACCCAUACCCCUACAAAUACUUCAGCCCAAAAAUAAACCAUUCUUCCUCCCAAGUACGGGCGACGAAAAAGGACCUACGAAGCAAUAGAGAAAGUACCGCAAGGGAAAGCUGAAAGAGAAAUGAAACAACUCAGUAAAACACCAAAAAGCAGAGAUUACUUCUCGUACCUUUUGCAUCAUGAUUUAGCAAGAAAUACUUAAGCAAAAAGCAUUAAAGUUUAAUACCCCGAAACUAAGUGAGCUACUCCAAGACAGCCUAAUUAUGGGGCAAACCCGUCUCUGUGGCAAAAGAGUGGGAAGAACUUUGAGUAGAGGUGACAGACCUACCGAACUUAGUUAUAGCUGGUUGCUUGGGAACUGAAUAGAAGUUCAGCCCUUUAUAAUUCUUCCCUCCCCUCAGCCCUAAGCUCAAAACAGACAAAAAGAAUUUAAAGGAGUUAGUCAAAGGGGGUACAGCCCCUUUGAAACAAGAUACAACUUUUACAGCAGGGUAAAGAUCACAACAAAUUAAAGGUAAAUGUUUUAGUGGGCCUAAAAGCAGCCAUCCAAACAGAAAGCGUUAAAGCUCAGACAUUCCACCCCUCCUCCCAAUACCGAUAAAAAUAUCUUAUCCCUCUAACCCUACCAGGCCGUCCCAUUCUUACCACAUGGGAGCGAUUAUGCUAAAAUGAGUAAUAAGAGAGUACCCGCCUCUCUCCUUGCACACACGUACAUCGGAACGAACCCCCACCGAACAUUAACGACCCCAAAACAAAGAGGGAACUGGACAAAAAACAAAUAACCAGAAAACCAUCCAACAACCCACCGUUAACCCCACACUGGUGUGCCCAACAGGAAAGACAGAAAGAAAAAGAAGGAACUCGGCAAACAUAAGCCUCGCCUGUUUACCAAAAACAUCGCCUCUUGUUAAACAAAACAUAAGAGGUCCCGCCUGCCCUGUGACUAUAUGUUUAACGGCCGCGGUAUUUUGACCGUGCAAAGGUAGCGCAAUCACUUGUCUUUUAAAUGAAGACCCGUAUGAAUGGCACAACGAGGGCUUAACUGUCUCCUUUUUCCCGUCAAUGAAAUUGAUCUCCCCGUGCAGAAGCGGGGAUACACCCAUAAGACGAGAAGACCCUAUGGAGCUUCAGGCUUCUGAACAGACUAUGUUAAGCCCCUAACACAAAAGACAAAACUAAUUAGACCCCGUUCAAAUGCCUUUGGUUGGGGCGACCGCGGGGAAAUAAAAAACCCCCAUGUGGACUAAGAACACAACUCCUCUUAAAGCCAAGAACUACCGCUCUAAGCAACAGAACUUCUGACCAAAAAUGAUCCGGCAAAGCCGAUCAACGGACCGAGUUACCCUAGGGAUAACAGCGCAAUCCCCUUCUAGAGCCCAUAUCGACAAGGGGGUUUACGACCUCGAUGUUGGAUCAGGACAUCCUAUUGGUGCAGCCGCUAUUAAGGGUUCGUUUGUUCAACGAUUAAAGUCCUACGUGAUCUGAGUUCAGACCGGAGUAAUCCAGGUCAGUUUCUAUCUAUGUUACGAUCUUUUCCAGUACGAAAGGACCGAAAAGAAGAGGCCCAUGUUCCAAACACGCCUCCCCCUUAUCUAAUGAAGACAACUAAAAUAGACAAAAAGGCGUCUCCCCAAGCUAAAGAGAAAUAGCUU
rnacentral:rRNA from 1 species